AUUGAACGCUGGCGGCAUGCUUUACACAUGCAAGUCGAACGGGCUGGGGGCAACUCCAGUCAGUGGCGAACGGGUGAGUAAUACAUCGGAACGUACCUCGUAGUGGGGGAUAACUCGGCGAAAGCCGUGCUAAUACCGCAUAUGCUCUACGGAGGAAAGCAGGGGACCGCAAGGCCUUGUGCUAUGGGAGCGGCCGAUGUCCGAUUAGCUAGUUGGUGAGGUAAUGGCUCACCAAGGCGACGAUCGGUAGCUGGUCUGAGAGGAUGAUCAGCCACACUGGGACUGAGACACGGCCCAGACUCCUACGGGAGGCAGCAGUGGGGAAUUUUGGACAAUGGGGGCAACCCUGAUCCAGCCAUGCCGCGUG
rnacentral:rRNA from 1 species